rnacentral:lncRNA from 1 species
CAUAUCUCUGGAAAUCAUUUACUAAGGUAUCAACUCCAGUAGUUAUGGAAGGUAUUGAAGUGAGAGAGGGCAUGAGAGAGGUUAACAGUGGGAUGAACUGGCCCAACAACUUGGCGUCGCACACCCAGCAGGAACGACGAGAUGAGAGGCUUUCUAGAGAGACAACGGAGGGCGGCGAGAUCGAGGUGGAAGGCCGAGGUGAAGGUGAUUGGUGUUGAGGGUGGAGGUCGAGACAGAGAGACGGAGGAGAGUCGUUAGUCAUGGUAAAGAGGAAGAGAACCAAAACAUUUUCACUAAUUUUCAAUUUCUGACGUUGCAUAACACGUGGCACAACAUUAACCAAUUCAUUCAAAAUUUAACGUCGUUUGUCUAAUAAUACUAAAAAUGAUAGUUUUACUAAGAAGAGGAUGAAAGUGGAGCAAAAUUUGAAAAAGGGACUAUACCCAAAAAUACUUGA